rnacentral:rRNA from 1 species
GGUGAACGCUGGCGGCGUGCUUAAGACAUGCAAGUCGAACGGCAGUCUUCGGACUGUAGUGGCGCACGGGUGAGUAACGCGUAACUGACCUACCCCAAAGUCGCGGAUAACGAUUCGAAAGAAUCGCUAAUACGUGAUGUGCUGUCAGAUUGUGUUCUGCCAGUAAAGAUUGAUUGCUUUGGGAUGGGGCUGCGUUCCAUCAGCUAGUUGGUGGGGUAAAGGCCCACCAAGGCGACGACGGAUGGCCGGCCUGAGAGGGUGGCCGGCCACAGGGGCACUGAGACAUGGGUCCCACUCCUACGGGAGGCAGCAGUAAGGAAUCUUCCACAAUGGGCGAAAGCCUGAUGGAGCGACGCCGCGUGAUGGAUGAAGGUCUUCGGAUCGGAAACCUCUGAAUCAGGGACGAAAGACACUUCGGUGGGAUGACGGUACCUGAGUAAUAGCACCGGCUAACUCCGUGCCAGCCGCCGCAGUAAGAC